CCUACGGUGGGCAGCAGUGGGGAAUAUUGCACAAUGGGCGAAAGCCUGAUGCAGCAACGCCGCGUGAGCGAUGAAGGCCUUCGGGUCGUAAAGCUCUGUCCUCAAGGAAGAUAAUGACGGUACUUGAGGAGGAAGCCCCGGCUAACUACGUGCCAGCAGCCGCGGUAAUACGUAGGGGGCUAGCGUUAUCCGGAAUUACUGGGCGUAAAGGGUGCGUAGGUGGUUUCUUAAGUCAGAGGUGAAAGGCUACGGCUCAACCGUAGUAAGCCUUUGAAACUGGGGAACUUGAGUGCAGGAGAGGAGAGUGGAAUUCCUAGUGUAGCGGUGAAAUGCGUAGAUAUUAGGAGGAACAUCAGUGGCGAAGGCGACUAUCUGGCACAUAACUGACGCUGAGGAGCGAAAGCGUGGGUAGCAAACAGGAUUAGAUACCCUAGUAGUC
rnacentral:rRNA from 1 species